GUCAUCGGCGUCUUCUGCUCUUUUCUGGCGUCAAAUUUGAAAUAUCGAGAUUUCUAUGAAAUUUUUAUAAUUUUGAAGAAAAUACUUUUACCGUAUAAUUAUGUCGCACGUGUACGUGUUACAAGUGUACAUGUAUUACAAUUAUUCCAAUUUUUGAUAAUUCAUUUGUUUUUCCGUAAAUCGGAAUAAGUAGUGAUGCAACUGUCAAGAAAUAUUUUUGUUUACAUACAACUUUUUUGGUUAUUUCGUUUGCGGCAAAUGGUCGUGUGAUUUUAUUUUGGAUUGGCAAAAUGUAUUUACAAAUUUAUAGUGCUAUAUGGCCGUAUAUUAUGAAAUGUUGCGCGUUGAAAAUGCUGUGGGUAUUUUUAUUCGUGAUCGUGUGCAUAUCGACUUUUCUUAUAAUUAUGAAUAAAAGUUCUAGAGAAGAUCUGAAAAAAUCCGUUUUGACUCAAGAUACAGUUCAGUCCAUUCACGGUAAAAUCAAUGAUCUCAAGCAAGACUUGAGAACCAAAGAGACGAAAUCGAGGAAGUCCAAUAUCAAAACAUUAAAAAUCAGUAAAAAGUAUUAUUUUACGAAUAGAAAAACGUCGUUGCCGAAUUUGCAACAGAUUUUAAUAAACCGUUUGAAAAAAGACGUUUUAAAAACGGAAGAGGAGCUGAAUGAAUUAGAGAAGGAAAUUUUGUUGCUGUCCAGGAGGAGAGAGAAUGUUAAAUACGAAAUUGCAAAAGUAUUCAUAAUUCGUAAUGAUCAGCAGGAAGAGUAUAACAAGUGCAUGCAAGUUUUGCUCAAAGAAUAGUAGCAGCAGUGAAUUUUUGGCGAUAAACGAAAAAAAUUGACAUUGUAAUUUUUUAAAUAAAAAAAAAGGAUCUUUGAACAAGGUAUAUUAUAAGCUCAAAAUAACAUGCGAUAUUCAUAUAAUGUUAUCUUUAUUUCCUUCGUUACAAUAUUCCACUCUCAACACACUUCAAAAUACUUAUAUGUUUUAUAAAAUCUUAUAACAUCAUCAAUAAUUACUGUUCAGUUAUAAAAUAUAUAGGUACACUUAAUACAUACAUCAUAUGACAAAUAAUUAGAACUAUAAUCCCGACGGAUGACGUUAAAACUAACGAAUAGAAAAAUCGAAUGAGAAAACCGAACGCCUACAACUAUAUUUUCUCAUACAAGUAUCUCUUCUGCCAUAAAAAUUUUACGCUGCCUCGGAGAAUAUAAUUCGUAAGUAUAUUAUUUAGUUACAAUCCAUUUAAUUUCGAUAAAUUCUGUUCCCAUGUACGUUUAUACGCUAAAUCAAAUUCAUCAUCAGUUAUAUUGUCCAAAAGUGCUGGUUUUGAAAUUCCUUCUCCUUUAUUACACGUUCGUUACUACAAUUCAAAAUCCAAAAACGCGAACGAACAAGACUUAAAAUUCCAGUCUUUUACAACGCACAAUCAAUCAUCGUGUCUACAGUGUUCGAUUGCCAAAUAAUUGACAGAUUUUGAUUGCAUUUUUCGUGUCUUACCGACAAUGAAGCGUGUCAAGACCGGACGACCAUGAAAACCAACCCCUAAUCAUCAUCAUCAUCAUCAUCAUCAUCAUCAUCAUCAUCGAAGAGUCCGCUCACAGUUCGGUGUGCGGCGAGGGGAACUUUUUGCGCACAGCUUGGUACAGGUUGAAGAACGCGUAAAAGCUGACACUGACGAUGGCGGCCAGCGCUGUCCCGAAGAUCCAAGAGAGGAAUUUGCCGUCGAUGAUGUCGGCCGUUUGAUGACGUUGUUUGCGCGCGCUGAUCUCGCCGAGGGUCGUGCCCUUGCGCUCCUCCAUCAGACGCUUCAUGUUGGCCAGUUUCUGACGAAGCUCGUCCACCGACUCGGACAUGUCGUCCAGGGACUCGCCGUUGCUCGAAAGCUCGCCGAUCAUGGCUGGAACGGGUUGACGGUUAGAUGUUGGAUUUUUAAUGCUACGUGUGCGUCAAGUAUUUAUUGUGGAAGGAUUUUGUUUAAUCGACCAUGAGCGUAAGUAUAGUAAAGUUCCAGUUCGCGUCAGACGCGGUGUAUAGAUAAAAGUGUGCCGCCGAUGAAGUUUGAGAUUGUUUACGUUGUGAAUAAAGUUUGUCUUAUCUGGGGUAUUAUCUGGUAUAGGCGUGUUUUCUCGCGAUGUUGAUGGCAAUUCUUUACUGUGUGUGUAUUCGCUUGUUUGAAUUUCGACAAUAAAUACUUGUAAUAUCAUUUUUUAAAUAAAUUAUAUGAUUUCUAUGGCGAGCUAACUACAAAUAAAUGUUUAAAACACAA